rnacentral:lncRNA from 1 species
AUGUUCGUUUUUGGGUGCGGAAUCAAAUUGUGUCAACUUUUUGAUCUAUAUGUGGCAGGGCGUGGCCUGCCCUCCGAACAGGUGCCCUAUGGAGGUAGUGCCUUAAUUGGUGGGUGGGGAGAACAGGUUUAUAUAAGGCACUGCCUCCAGCUGGCUUUAGUUGUUUCCCCCCUUCGACGCUACGGCGGGGUUGCGGCUGAUCUGGGCGGUUCGACCAACAAACUGUUUCACAGCGCGAGCUGUCUGGCAGCGCCAGGAAGGUCGGUGCUUCCUCCCGCCAUCCUUCCGCCUAGAGCGCUGUGCCGUGAGGGCGCGCGCGCUAGUUGCACUGGGCAGUUUGCUGCCGCCUGGCGUCGGUGGGUCGCGUUGCCCCAGCGGGAACCCUUCACGGAGUGGUGGCGCCACCAAACACAGUCGGCACGGACUAUCUCGCUUACUGGACCCACGGCUGCUUUGGCUCGGUCCUUUGGUUCGGGAUUCUCUCCUGUUCUCUCUCCCUCUCCCCUCGCUCCCCUGGGCUCGGAGAAACGGCGCUGAGACGUGGUGGUGCCGCCGAGGCGACCACGGAGCUUUUGCCUAAAUUUUAGACUCUUGACAGUGUGUAAAUUGUAUCAAUUUAUAUUUACCUUUUUAGUGUUUGUUGCUUUUCGUUUCUUGGUUGACGUUGGGUUCUUUUAGACGACCUGGUCACCAUUUAUUUGCCUGUCUGUGUGAAGUCUGUGUGAAGUCUGUGUGAAGUCUGUGUGAAGUCUGUGUGAAGUCUGUGUGAAGUCUGUGUGAAGUCUGUGUGAAGUCUGUGUGAAGUCUGUGUGAAGUCUGUGUGAAGUGUGCGCUCGUCGCGUCUGAUUGUUUAUCAUUGUAAAUGUAAUUGUUCUCUUUUCUUUGGACAGGUGCUGCGGGCCACGGCGGGGACCCAACCCCUGGUGGAGGGCGUUUUCAUCACCCCCCUCGUGUGUAGUUUUGUUUGCAGUAGCACGGGUGUUGUUAGUUUGUUUAUCUCCCCUGAUUGAGUUUUACCUGCCGGUGGGGCCCCAGCCCUGUCCACCCCUUUUGUUUGACUUUGUACAGCCGAGUUAUUUUUUUGUUGAGUUGGAUUUAAUAAAAUUGUAGUGCAUAACCCUCAAUCCUGUCUCUGCCUCUGGAACAGAACCUUAUCUGCGCGUGCCUGUUCUCCGGUUAAUUCCUGGGGUGAAACUCCCCAGGUGGCGUUGUCGUUAACGUUCCACCUCUCCCCACCCCGCUACAUAUAGGAUCCCCUCUGGUUCAAAGUGUCCCUAUAGGAUAUUGACAGUUCUGACCUUUUGGGGGCUGCACACACCUCUUAAUGGUGACGGCACCAACGGAGCUGAUCCAGUUGUCAUCAGCUGGCCAGUCUGACUCCAGCUCAUUAGGGGAAAUUUGCUGAUCUGGAGGAGAAGCUUUCAAAACUUGACGGGCUGGGGGGGAAAUGACUGUAAUUUUGGAAUCAGCGUGCCAAUUUUAUUUUUAAUCAGAAUAAUUUAGAAUAAUUUCAACAGGAUAUUUUCAAAUUGUUCCCCAGUGGAGCUGCCAACUGAAUAUGGUGACCUGCUGCUUCCUUUUUUGUCCCUUU